rnacentral:rRNA from 1 species
UACGAAGGGGGCUAGCGUUGCUCGGAAUCACUGGGCGUAAAGGGCGCGUAGGCGGCCGAUCAAGUCAGAGGUGAAAGCCCAAGGCUCAACCUUGGAACUGCCUUUGAUACUGUUUGGCUAGAGACCGGAAGAGGUAAGUGGGAACUGCGAGUGUAGAGGUGAAAUUCGUAGAUAUUCGCAAGAACACCAGUGGCGAAGGCGGCUUACUGGUCCGGUUCUGACGCUGAGGCGCGAAAGCGUGGGGAGCAAACAGG